UGCCCGGUGGUGUAAUUGGCAACACACCAGAUUUUGGUUCUGGCUUUCCUGGUUCGAGUCCAGGCCGGGCAG
rnacentral:tRNA from 1 species